rnacentral:rRNA from 1 species
GAUGAACGCUAGCGACAGGCCUAACACAUGCAAGUCGAGGGGCAGCACGAAUUAAGCUUGCUUGAUUUGGUGGCGACCGGCGCACGGGUGCGUAACAGGUGUGCAAUCUGUCCAUAAUCGGGGAAUAGCCCAGCGAAAGUUGGAUUAAUGCUCCAUGUGAGUUUUAGAGGCAUCUCUAUAAUUUGAAACGUAAGGAUUAUGGGUGAGCAAGCUUCUGAUUAGGUAGUUGGUGAGGUAACGGCUCACCAAGCCGACGAACAGUAGGGGUUCUGAGAGGAAGGUCCCCCACAUUGGAACUGAGACACGGGCCAAACUCCUACGGGAGGCAGCAGUGAGGAAUAUUGGUCAAUGGACGCAAGUCUGAACCAGCCAAGUCGCGUGAAGGAUGAAGGUUCUAUGGAUUGUAAACUUCUUUUGUCUGAGGGUAAAAAAGCGGACGUGUCCGUUCUUGCAAGUAUCAGACGAAUAAGCAUCGGCUAACUCCGUGCCAGCCGCCGCAGUAAAAC